CUCUCUCUCUCUCUCUCUCUCUCUCUCUCUCUCUCUCUCUCUCUCUCUCUCUCACACACACACACACACACACAUUACAUAAGGGCAUUAUGUAACGCUAGCCAAAUGGUAGCCUCUAGGUUAUUUUUUUUAACUCCCUACAUAGUAUCAAUGGGUUAUCUCAAAUUUUAAACUAGACUACCUAAAAUAAAUACCAAAGAUAAUGCACAUUUUUGCACAGUGAAGCUUGUUAAAAAAGGAAUGAAAAGGGAAAGAAGUCCCCACCACUGCCUAAAUAACCGAACCUUGGCAAGAUCUGGAACUGUUCCUUCCUUUUGUACCUUACUCAGAAACCAGAUAGUACACACAGAGUUAGUAGCAGAGUGUUUUGCAAAUGCAGCUCUUCCAUGUAACUUUUGUAUUAUAGGAAGUGAAAUUUGCAGACACACACACCCCAUCUUUUUUUGCUAUGCGAGGGUGGCCAGGCUAACACACAAAAAUAGAGGGAAUGAUGUGCUCUUAGAAUUUUCUGGGGUUUCCCUUUUAUGACACAUUCCAACAUUAAAACUGAGCUAUGUAACAUAAUACAUACAAAAAGGUGCAGAUUCUUGAGGAUGAAUCUGUGACGCUGAUUGUUGGGACAUUUCCUGCUUGAUUUUGUCAAAGAGACCAAUCCAUGUCUGCACCCAGGUCUGGGUUACAUGUCUGGAUUGGUUUCUCUAAAGUGAGACUUGGUUUUAUGCAAGAGGACUACACACACAAAAGUGAAAAAUUAUAGGGGCAGAUGUAAGUGCUCUACUUUGAUGUGGCCCAUCAGCUCAAGUUUUCAGGGGGACAUUUUUUUUUUCCACAGUUGAGGAUAAAAUGGAAACAAUUCAAGUAGUUGGCUCAACUGGGGUGAUCUAGAAAUGACCUAAUCACAGGGAACAGCCAUAGGACCUACAAUGAGGACUGUUAUGUGUCAGCAAAUUCAUGGUGUGGUCUUAGCUGGUCUCUAUAACUUCUGGAUUGCAGGUUACGAAGUACCCAUUUCCAGAAACUUCUCCUCUGCAUGGCUGCCCAACUAGCUAGAAACCUUUUUUCUUUAGGGGACAUGUUCCAUUCUAACUCAAUAACAGAACUGCUUUUUGGAUCCCUGUUUGUGAACUCUGGGGUUACUGACUUUUCUUUUGAAUUGGAAUCUCAAAAUCAACUCUGAUGGUAUUAUAUCCCAGUAUGCCAUUAAAAAACAACUUGUUCUAGAAUCCUGUAUUUUGUCAUUGAAUGUGUAUGAAGAUCUCUGGUUCUUAACCAGCCGGAUUGGAAGGUGCAUGGUGCCUGCAAAUUAGAGUAUCGAUUUUGCUGUUCUCAGCCUGCAAAGUCUUGGGAUAAUUUGAAAUCCAAAUUUGAUGGCAGGUUUAGGAAGUUGCUUCGAGAUGUGGAGAAAUGGGGCUGGAGUUGGAUGAGUGAAUUUACAUAAGAGGCGAUGUUUAAGCCAUGGGCAGUGAGAGGGCUGGUGAGGGUUUCAGCUGCUGCUAUUUUGUCAUUUUGCAAAGGAAAAUAAUCAAACCAAAGAGUAUUCAGUGAUAUGUCAAUUAAAUGAAGAUCCAGUGCGGGAAGAGGGGUGAGCAUGAGCUCGGAGAGGAUUUCCCCUCAAUGCACCGAGCUGCCACCCAAAAUGAAUUCAAAUAUUUCAAAGGGGGUGGAUCAAGGGGGAAUGUUGGAAGGGAAAUCUUUAAAAUUCUUGCUGAAAAAGAGAAAAAUAAAAUAAAAUUUCUGGUGCACAGGUUUGUUUUUUCUUUUUUUUUUUUCAAGAAAAUUUUGCAGAAGCUAUGUUUUUAAAGUGUACAUUUUAUAAAGUUUAUCAAAUAUUUUCAUAUUUAAAGCCAAAUGUAAAUAGAACUCUGUCAAGGGAAAAAAAAUUGCCAUAGAAAGUAUCAUUUCAGUACAGCAAUUUCUAAGAGCUAGUACCUAUAUGCUACCGGUUAGCAUGGUUUUAGCACCUACUUAUCAGCCUCCUAAGGCUUGUAUUGCUGUGUUCUUGUUAUUUAUUUCAGCAUGGACUGUUCAUUUGAAAGCUUUUUUCUAGCUAUUAGUAUUUUAACAAUUAGGAGCUUUAAAUGGCAAUUUUUUUGUCAAGAGCCAAGACAUAGGUAAUGCACAAGAUUUUGCUGCAUUUUACCUUAAAUACGUUUGUCCUUACUGACUGGGUCUCCUUACAUUAGUACACAAGUCAUUAGAACACGGAUUGAAGAGACUCACCAUAAAUAACCUGGGGUUUAUUCCUAAUAUGUGUUGCUUCUCUAUUGCAAGCAAAAUUCCCAUUGAAUUUACUUAGGAAUUAUCCUGCUAAAGAAGUUUUGCCCAUAUCUGGAUGGGCAGUAUAUUUUGGGGAGGAGAUUAUAUAUUCCUGGUUAUGCUAUUUUUUUUAAAGGUAGACAAAGUGAAUUCUAUUUUGAUUAUAGAGAAAGGAAUAGUUUUCUAUCCCUCUUAGUGUAUACUUGAAUCUGACAUUUAAAGGAUGUCAUCCUAGCUAGCACUGUAGUCAUUUCCAAAUUCUGGACAAAAGUUUGUUUUAUUAUUAUUUUUCAAAAUUCUAGUAAGGCAUUUUUCUUCCCCUUGAACUUCCUUCUUCCCAAGAAACUUCUACUCUAAACCUUGCUGUUUUUUUGAUGAACUCCAACCCCCAAAUCUUGUUACCCAUACAAAUAAUAAUAUCAGUCCUUAUUUUAUUAUGUCACACCAUAAAGACAAAAUAUUUGUUUGGAAAAGUAGAGUGAGUUCUUUUUCACUCUGUGUUUAAUAUUAGGAAGGUGAGAUAAAAACAAACAAAUAAACAAGUGUUGUAUAGUCACCUCCUCAUUCCCAACUACAAUCUCUUUUCUAGGGAUACUGGGGUUCAGCUCUGGAUUCUGGAGAGUUGAACGAUUCUGGCCUUUGACAAUCAUGCUAGUUAUUAUUUUCCCAUUUGCUGUCUUUUUUGUAUCUAAAGUCUUCCUAUUGUACUGCACAAACCAUGGAUUGUACAUAUUUUUAUAUAUUAUGUCUUAUUUUAUUAUUUCUAAAUAAAAAUUAAAAAUUCAAACCAAA